rnacentral:rRNA from 1 species
AAUCAACGCUGGCGGCGUGCCUAACACAUGCAAGUCGGACGCGAAAGCGGCUUCGGCCGCAAGUAGAGUGGCUAACGGGUGAGUAACACGUGGGUGACCUGCCUUCGAGUGGGGGAUAACGUCUCGAAAGGGACGCUAAUACCGCAUAACAUCCCGCCUUUGGACAGGCGGAGAUCAAAGCCGGGGACCGCAAGGCCUGGCGCUUGAAGAGGGGCCCGCGCCGGAUUAGCUAGUUGGUGAGGUAACGGCCCACCAAGGCGACGAUCCGUAGCCGGCCUGAGAGGGCGGACGGCCACACUGGGACUGAGACACGGCCAGACUCCUACGGGAGGCAGCAGUAGGGAAUCUUCCGCAAUGGACGAAAGUCUGACGGAGCAACGCCGCGUGAGCGAAGAAGGCCUUCGGGUCGUAAAGCUCUGUUGUUAGGGAAGAACAAGUACGAGAGUAACUGCUCGUACCUUGACGGUACCUAACCAGAAAGCCACGGCUAACUACGUGCCAGCCGCCGCAGUAAUAC